GACAGAGGCCUCAAGCGUUAGGCGGAAUCACUGGGCUUAAAGCGUGUGUAGGCGGAUCGUUAAGUGUCUUGUGAAAUCCCACGGCUCACCCGUGGAACUGCUGGGCAUACUGGCGAUCUUGGGCCAACUAGGGGCAGCCGGAACAAGCGGUGGAGCGGUGAAAUGCGUAGAUAUCGCUUGGAACGCCGAAGGUGAAAACAGGCUGCUGGGUUGUGCCGACGCUGGAGACACGAAAGCCAGGGGAGCAAACGGG
rnacentral:rRNA from 1 species